AAAGUGGGACCAGGGCGUGGCCGGGCUACGCCUCGACCCUUCUCCUUAAAACAUCUCCAGAAUUAAACACCUUUUCUGCCGUCUGCCUGGUUUAGUUUGGAGGAGAAUUUACCAACCCAAAUCUGGCCCAAGCCUGGACCGUCUAGAUAAGGAAGAGGAUCACAGAAACAAACUGACAGUGAUCACAACAAGUAGGCAGAGAGGCAGGCAGAGAGAGAGGAGGAAGAAGACUCCCUGGUGAGCAGAGAGCCCGAUGCGGGCUCGAUCCCAGGACCCUGGGAUCAUGACAAGAACCGAAGGCAGAGGCUUUGACCCACUGAGCUACCCAGGCGCCCCUCAAAAUCUCCAAUGGAAAUCCAGCAACUCCUCUUUCCUCUUCACUGUGCAAGAUUCUGCGAACGGUCUGUUGCUAAGACACAAUCAGAGAAGAAGGACAUCAGGUUAUACAAAUUACUGAGCCUAACAGAUACAGCCAUUAAAGGGUCAAAGUUGAAUGGAUAAAGAAGAUGUGGUCCAUACACACGAAGGAAUAUUACGCAGCCAUCAGAAAGGAUGAAUACCCAACUUUUGCAUCAACAUGGACGGGGCUGGAGGAGAUGAUGCUGAAUGAAACAAGUCAAGCAGAGAAAGUCAAUUAUUAGAUGGUUUCACUUAUUUGCAGGGACAUAAGGAAAAGCAUGGAGGACAUUAGGAGAAGGGAGGGGAAAAUGAAGGAGGGGAAUCAAAGAGAAAAACGAACCAUGAGACCCUGUGGACUCCAGGAAACAGACUGAGGGUUUUAGAGGGGAGAAAGGGUGGGGGGAUGGGUGAGCUUGGUGGUGGGUAUUAAGGAGGGCACGUAUUGCACGGAGCACUGGGUGUUAGGUAUAAACAAUGACUCAUGGAACAUUGCAUUAAAAACUAAUGACAUGCUAUACGGUGACUAACAUAACACAAUAAAUAAAUAAAUAAAUAAAAAUAAAGCGUCAAAGUCUCUGGUAUAUGAAUCUGCUUUCAAAAGAGACAAAGCCUUUUUUCUUUUCUUUUCUUUCUUUUUUUUUAUGAGAGAAGAGAUUAGAAUGCCAACACUUUCAGGAGUUUCUUUUCAAUCAUUUAAAGUACAGAUGACGGUUAGCAGACUCUGAGAUGAAAGACUUGGAGUUUGAGGCACGUCUGUGGGGAGUGUGGAGAGAAAGAACCUGUGGGAGGGAGAGAAAAGGACUCAGAAAGGGGGCUGAAUCUGCCACGUUUUCAUCCGUGCUAUCCUCCUGUGCCUGAUGGAACCGGGGGCCUUGGACCUUGCCUGGAGAGCCCUGGGGCCAUGGAGGAGGAAAUGUCUGUGUCUGCCCCGAGGCACCCUGAAAGACUGGCCCUCCAGGCAACAAGAGAGAAGACGGCCAUUCUGCUGCCUGUCUGCCUGCCAAACACUGGGCAAUUACCUGCGUCUUUGGUUCCAGUGUCAUCAAGAACCCCUCAACGUGGGGUAUUGCCUUAUUUUGUGGAUGUGCAAACUGAGGCUCAGAGAGAUGAGACAUCCCGCCCAAGGUUACUAUCUGAGACCCAGUAGGGUGACCUACUGUCCCGGUUUUCCCAGGACUGAGGAGUUUCUUGAGAUGCAGGACUUUGAGGACAGGACCAGGCAAGCCGAAGGGUUGGUUGGUCUGGGCUGUCUGCCUGCAGAGCUCUGUUAUACCAACUGUAGCCCCAACAGAGCAGACAGCUCAGAUUUCCCCAAGAGCUGGCUCUAGCAUCCUAAAAUGCUCAACCUUGACCUGUGAUCUGGGAAUCUGUUCUCCUUUCUGGAAGUAGGCCCUGGACCAGACCUAGUAGGAUGGUGUGAUGGAACCAGAGUCUCCUCUGUGUUGUUUUACCACUCCAGGCUCAGAUCCCCAAAUCUACACACCCAACAGCUAACACCUCGAGAGAGCCCAGUGCUAUGCCAGGAGCAGAGCCUUGUCCCGCAUGGGGCAGAGCCCAGGGCCUUGUCCUACUGUGCUGAAAUGUUCUCCAGAUCCUCUGCCCUCCUUGUCCACCAGUUGUGACCACUUAAAACUAUUAAAACAUCUUUACCAUUAAAAUACUUUUGGGGGCACCUGUGUGGCUCAGUGGGUUAAAGCCUCUGCCUUCGGCUCAGGUCAUGAUCCCAGGGUCCUGGGAUCGAGCCGCGCAUCGGGCUCUCUGCUUCCUCCUCUCUCUCUCUCUGCCUGCCUCUCUGCCUGCUUGUGAUCUCUGCCUGCCAAAUGAAUAAAUAAAGU